rnacentral:rRNA from 1 species
UACGUAGGGUGCGAGCGUUAAUCGGAAUUACUGGGCGUAAAGCGUGCGCAGGCGGUUCGCUAAGACCGAUGUGAAAUCCCCGGGCUUAACCUGGGAACUGCAUUGGUGACUGGCGGGCUAGAGUGUGGCAGAGGGGGGUAGAAUUCCACGUGUAGCAGUGAAAUGCGUAGAGAUGUGGAGGAAUACCGAUGGCGAAGGCAGCCCCCUGGGCUAACACUGACGCUCAGGCACGAAAGCGUGGGGAGCAAACAGG